rnacentral:rRNA from 1 species
UAGGGAAUCUUCGGCAAUGGGGGGAACCCUGACUGAGCAACGCCGCGUGAGUGAAGAAGGUUUUUGGAUCGUAAAGCUCUGUUGUUAAGGAAGAACGAGUGUGAGAAUGGAAAGUUCAUACUGUGACGGUACUUAACCAGAAAGGGACGGCUAACUACGUGCCAGCAGCCGCGGUAAUACGUAGGUCCCGAGCGUUGUCCGGAUUUAUUGGGCGUAAAGCGAGCGCAGGCGGUUAGAUAAGUCUGAAGUUAAAGGCAGUGGCUCAACCAUUGUAGGCUUUGGAAACUGUUUAACUUGAGUGCAGAAGGGGAGAGUGGAAUUCCAUGUGUAGCGGUGAAAUGCGUAGAUAUAUGGAGGAACACCGGUGGCGAAAGCGGCUCUCUGGUCUGUAACUGACGCUGAGGCUCGAAAGCGUGGGGAGCGAACAGG